UGAGGGGAAAUGACCGUCCUCAUCACCACUCCUGGCCACUUUGCCUCUGCACUGUGAAGCCAUCUGUCACGCCUUGCUGGCAGUAAUCAUUCACUGUCCAGGGCUCUCAGGCUCUUUACAGGUAGAAGCCAUGUAGGCUCUGAUAGGACCAUCUGUGGGCGUGGCGACAUGUGGCAGCUCCUGUUUGGAUUGAAGUUGGUAGACUUGUUUCUCAACUCACCAGCUCUACAGACACUCCGCCUUUCAUUUCUGCUUUGCAACAUUUCAAAGUGAAGAGAUUCACCAAUUUGACGAGUAGAAGAGAGCUUAAAAGAACAUGUGGAAGGAUGAGAGGCAAGAGUCCGUGUGUUGACACUAAUUAGCGAGCGAAGGAACUGGAAAAAGGCUUUGAAAAAGUCUGGAAUUUCAAAGGUAAAAUGCAGCCAUCAGAUGUAACGGGACAGAAACAACUUGAAAGAAGCUCUAAGUGCACUUACAGAUCUGGAUGCCAACAUUCUGAGCAAAGAUAUUCAAAGACAGAGAGGAGGGCAAGCAGCAGAUGGCCAAAGUUUACUGUAGGUCUCACUUCAUUUCUCAUUUUUUGACUUUCGCAUAACUCAGUAAUUGAAUCCAGAUUGCCAGAACUUCAAGAAAAUGUUGGCUACAAACACCGAUCUACCACAGGGCCUCAAGCACUUCAGCGGAAGACAAAUGAGAUUAACAAGACACAAAGACUUCUGCCUCUUUCUAAUGUACAGGCUGACUUUGUUACAGCAAUGUUAUUUAGUUCAGUUGACUUUGUCCUAUACAGUAUUUCAUAAAUGCCAAGUUAAAAGUGCAGUGGGUAGCUUCUCAUUGCUAA